AUGGCUAAGGAGACUCGCCAGAGGUUCUACAAAGCUUUUCUUCGUUCCACCCCGUUCAUGGCAUCAGUCACCACGUAUUCAACUGUCAUUUCGGCAGUUGGAUACUUGGUCAUUGAGACACUUGAGGAUGGAGUGAACAGGAAGCUGGUUGAGCAGGAUAACACCCUCGCCGUGAAGCUUGAAGCGGAGAAGGUGAAGCGUGAGGGUUUUCAGAGCAUGGAGCAGAGGCGACCUCUCCUCAAGAUACCCCAAGCCUCCAAGACUUUACUCCAUGCUUGUGGGAGUGAUACUAAAUCCUCAUUACUAUCUUCAGACCUAUGUUCUGUUAAAGUUUAA
rnacentral:rRNA from 1 species